rnacentral:rRNA from 1 species
GUUUGAUCCUGGCUCAGGAUGAACGCUAGCUACAGGCUUAACACAUGCAAGUCGAGGGGCAGCAUGGUCUUAGCUUGCUAAGGCCGAUGGCGACCGGCGCACGGGUGAGUAACACGUAUCCAACCUGCCGUCUACUCUUGGACAGCCUUCUGAAAGGAAGAUUAAUACAAGAUGGCAUCAUGAGUCCGCAUGUUCACAUGAUUAAAGGUGUUCCGGUAGACGAUGGGGAUGCGUUCCAUUAGAUAGUAGGCGGGGUAACGGCCCACCUAGUCUUCGAUGGAUAGGGGUUCUGAGAGGAAGGUCCCCCACAUUGGAACUGAGACACGGUCCAAACUCCUACGGGAGGCAGCAGUGAGGAAUAUUGGUCAAUGGGCGAGAGCCUGAACCAGCCAAGUAGCGUGAAGGAUGACUGCCCUAUGGGUUGUAAACUUCUUUUAUAAAGGAAUAAAGUCGGGUAUGCAUACCCGUUUGCAUGUACUUUAUGAAUAAGGAUCGGCUAACUCCGUGCCAGCAGCCGCGGUAAUACGGAGGAUCCGAGCGUUAUCCGGAUUAUUGGGUUUAAGGGAGCGUAGAUGGAUGUUUAAGUCAGUUGUGAAAGUUUGCGGCUCAACCGUAAAAUUGCAGUUGAUACUGGAUAUCUUGAGUGCAGUUGAGGCAGGCGGAAUUCGUGGUGUAGCGGUGAAAUGCUUAGAUAUCACGAAGAACUCCGAUUGCGAAGGCAGCCUGCUAAGCUGCAACUGACAUUGAGGCUCGAAAGUGUGGGUAUCAAACAGGAUUAGAUACCCUGGUAGUCCACACGGUAAACGAUGAAUACUCGCUGUUUGCGAUAUACGGCAAGCGGCCAAGCGAAAGCGUUAAGUAUUCCACCUGGGGAGUACGCCGGCAACGGUGAAACUCAAAGGAAUUGACGGGGGCCCGCACAAGCGGAGGAACAUGUGGUUUAAUUCGAUGAUACGCGAGGAACCUUACCCGGGCUUAAAUUGCAGAUGAAUUACGGUGAAAGCCGUAAGCCGCAAGGCAUCUGUGAAGGUGCUGCAUGGUUGUCGUCAGCUCGUGCCGUGAGGUGUCGGCUUAAGUGCCAUAACGAGCGCAACCCUUGUUGUCAGUUACUAACAGGUCAUGCUGAGGACUCUGACAAGACUGCCAUCGUAAGAUGUGAGGAAGGUGGGGAUGACGUCAAAUCAGCACGGCCCUUACGUCCGGGGCUACACACGUGUUACAAUGGGGGGUACAGAGGGCCGCUACCACGCGAGUGGAUGCCAAUCCCAAAAACCUCUCUCAGUUCGGACUGGAGUCUGCAACCCGACUCCACGAAGCUGGAUUCGCUAGUAAUCGCGCAUCAGCCACGGCGCGGUGAAUACGUUCCCGGGCCUUGUACACACCGCCCGUCAAGCCAUGGGAGCCGGGGGUACCUGAAGUGCGUAACCGCGAGGAGCGCCCUAGGGUAAAGCUGGUGACUGGGGCUAAGUCGUAACAAGGUAGCCGUAAGGGCG